AACGAACGCUGGCGGCAGGCUUAACACAUGCAAGUCGAGCGCCCCGCAAGGGGAGCGGCAGACGGGUGAGUAACGCGUGGGAAUCUACCCAUCUCUACGGAAUAACGCAUGGAAACGUGUGCUAAUACCGUAUACGUCCUUCGGGAGAAAGAUUUAUCGGAGAUGGAUGAGCCCGCGUUGGAUUAGCUAGUUGGUGGGGUAAAGGCCUACCAAGGCGACGAUCCAUAGCUGGUCUGAGAGGAUGGUCAGCCACACUGGGACUGAGACACGGCCCAGACUCCUACGGGAGGCAGCAGUGGGGAAUAUUGGACAAUGGGCGCAAGCCUGAUCCAGCCAUGCCGCGUGAGUGAUGGAGGCCCUAGGGUUGUAAAGCUCUUUCACCGGUGAAGAUAAUGACGGUAACCGGAGAAGAAGCCCCGGCUAACUUCGUGCCAGCCGCCGCAGUAAUAC
rnacentral:rRNA from 1 species